rnacentral:tRNA from 1 species
GCCGGCGUGGCGCAAUUGGCAGCGCACCUGUCUUGUAAACAGGGGGUUCCCGGUUCAAGUCCGGGCGUCGGCC